GACGAAGGUGGCGAGCGUUGUUCGGAAUCACUGGGCUUAAAGGGCGCGUAGGCGGACCAUCAUGCGUGUUGUGAAAUCCCCCGGCUCAACCGGGGAAUUGCUUCGCGAACGGAUGGUCUUGAGGCAGGUAGGGGCGUGGGGAACUCUUGGUGGAGCGGUGGAAUGCGUAGAUAUCAAGAGGAACGCCGGAGACGAAGGUGCCGCGCUGGGCCUGUCCUGACGCUGAGGCGCGAAAGCCAGGGGAG
rnacentral:rRNA from 1 species